UACGAGGGGGGCAAGCGUUGUUCGGAAUUACUGGGCGUAAAGGGCUCGUAGGCGGCCAACUAAGUCAGACGUGAAAUCCCUCGGCUUAACCGGGGAACUGCGUCUGAUACUGGAUGGCUUGAAUCCGGGAGAGGGAUGCGGAAUUCCAGGUGUAGCGGUGAAAUGCGUAGAUAUCUGGAGGAACACCGGUGGCGAAGGCGGCAUCCUGGACCGGCAUUGACGCUGAGGAGCGAAAGCCAGGGGAGCGAACGGG
rnacentral:rRNA from 1 species